GCCUGACACGUGCCUCCACCAGGGCACGACUGACGGAGAAUUAGGGUGUUGGUCGAUUAAGACAGCAGGACAGUGGUCAUGGAAGUCGAAAUCCGCUAAGAAGUGUGUAACAACUCACCUGCCGAAUCAACUAACCCCGAAAACUGAUGGCGCUUAAGCGCGUGACCUACACCUGGCCGUCGGGGCAAGUGCUAGGCCCCGAUG
rnacentral:ncRNA from 1 species